GAUUCAUGAUAACUUAACGGAUCGCAUGGCCUUGCGCCGGCGACGGUUCAUUCAAAUUUCUGCCCUAUCAACUUUCGAUGGUAAGGUAUUGGCUUACCAUGGUUUCAACGGGUAACGGGGAAUUAGGGUUCGGUUCCGGAGAGGGAGCCUGAGAAACGGCUACCACAUCCAAGGAAGGCAGCAGGCGCGCAAAUUACCCAAUCCCGACACGGGGAGGUAGUGACAAUAAAUACUGAUACAGGGCUCUUUUGGGUCUUGUAAUUGGAAUGAGUACAAUUUAAACCCCUUAACGAGGAACAAUUGGAGGGCAAGUCUGGUGCCAGCAGCCGCGGUAAUUCCAGCUCCAAUAGCGUAUAUUAAAGUUGUUGCAGUUAAAAAGCUCGUAGUUGAAUCUUGGGUCUGGCUGGCCGGUCCGCCUCACCGCGUGUACUGGUCCGGCCGGGCCUUUCCUUCUGGAGAUUCCCAUGCCCUUCACUGGGUGUGUGGGGGAACCAGGACUUUUAC
rnacentral:rRNA from 1 species